rnacentral:rRNA from 1 species
AACAAGCGCUGGCGGCGUGCCUAACACAUGCAAGUCGUACGAGAAAGGGUCCUUCGGGGCCUGAGUAAAGUGGCGCACGGGUGAGUAACGCGUGGAUAAUCUGCCCUUCAGUUGGGAAUAACUCAUCGAAAGGUGGGCUAAUACCGAAUAAUGCUGUGAGACCUCGGUUGAUCAGCCAAAGAGAGCCUCUGCUUGCAAGCCCUCGCUGAAGGAUGAGUCCGCGUACCAUUAGCUAGUUGGUAGGGUAAUGGCCUACCAAGGCGACGAUGGUUAGCUGGGCUGAGAGGAUGAUCAGCCACACUGGAACUGAGACACGGUCCAGACUCCUACGGGAGGCAGCAGUGAGGAAUCUUGCGCAAUGGGGGCAACCCUGACGCAGCAACGCCGCGUGAGUGAGGAAGGUCUUCGGAUCGUAAAGCUCUGUCGGAUGGAAAGAACCGCAUAGGGGUAAACAGCCCCUGUGUCUGACGGUACCAUCAAAGGAAGCACCGGCUAACUCCGUGCCAGCCGCCGCAGUAAAAC